CUCCCCUGACCGCACGUCCCUUGUUCAUGGGCUUGUUUAUCUCCACCUGAUAACAAAUGCCUUUUCAUUUUGUCACACAGAUUGUAUAAAUUACCCAUUAACCUUCAUUUCAUGACCUUUAGACGUAGGUGUGCUUGUAAGUGACUUUGCUCAUCCGGACCAAAAAGCAAAAGCAGUAUGUUGUAUGUUAAUGGUCACUGAAGAUUCAGAGAUAGUGGUUUAGCUUAGUUACAAAGCUAACUAGAUUAGAUAGGCGUUGAAGAGUCUGAAGUAGGAGAAUGUCUCCAGGGCAGAGUCUCAAAUACAAGGGAGUCCUCUGUUUUUAAAUUCCUUUUUCAUGUUACUGGAAUAGAAUACUGUACUUUCGAAGUGUAUACCUACCUUCACACCAAAAACCGAAAAUAAAAAUGUAAGCGGAACUAAACAAAAGUUCACAAGACUUUUGCCGCUGGUCAUUUGUGUGUAGACUAAUAGUUAUCGAUGUGUUUAGGCAAGAUUCUCCAAGCCCUUCAAAUCCCUGAUUUUCAUUAAUUUGAGAGUAAACACGUCAUGCCGUAAAUUUCGCAUUCACAUAAAUUGCGGCGCGUGGGAGAGGAGGCUUAAAAUGAAACCAAAAACCUAAUUCGCUAACCCGAAGCCUGAAAUUCAGUUUCAUUCUUCGUAUUAUUGGUGCCUGCUUGAGGAAGAAGUGACAAGGUUCUGUAAGGUUUUGCCCAACAGAAUAUAGAAUGGUGAAAGUAUUUUUGGUCCUUGCUGGAAACACUCAGAACACCCAGGCAAAGUUUUGGCAGCGCCUGGUCAGAAGAAGUACCAAUGCGGUGAAAGUGGCCAACGUUAGAGACUGUGAUGUGACCCUCACAUUCUGUCCAAUCGUCUCACGAGUUGGAACUGAUGUAGAGGCAGCCGUCCAGCUGAUCCCCACAACUAGACCUGGAGUCCUGGUAUUACUGCACCCGACCUUUAACCCAGA